UCCUACGGGAGGCUGCAGUGGGGAAUCUUGCACAAUGGGCGAAAGCCUGAUGCAGCAACGCCGCGUGCGGGAAGACGGCCCUAGGGUUGUAAACCGCUUUCAGCAGGGAAGAAAAUGACGGUACCUGCAGAAGAAGGUGCGGCCAACUACGUGCCAGCAGCCGCGGUGACACGUAGGCACCAAGCGUUAUCCGGAUUUAUUGGGCGUAAAGAGCUCGUAGGCGGUUCGGUAAGUCGGGUGUGAAAACUCUGGGCUCAACCCAGAGAUGCCACCCGAUACUGCUGUGACUAGAGUGCAGUAGGGGAGUGGGGAAUUCAUGGUGUAGCGGUGAAAUGCGCAGAUAUCAUGAGGAACACCAGUGGCGAAGGCGCCACUCUGGGCUGUAACUGACGCUGAGGAGCGAAAGCGUGGGUAGCAAACAGGAUUAGAUACCCCUGUAGUCUA
rnacentral:rRNA from 1 species